GAGAGUUUUCCCUCUCGUUCCUUGAAAGACAAAACUUCGGAUUGUUUAUUGACAGUGCCGCUUAGCAUGUAACAUCAAUGAUCUUCGAUCGCAUUUUUAAUUCAGCUCUAUUCCCUUAAAUUUCUGCAUUUCUUUACAGAGUUACUCUGCCGCAGAGAUCAACGCUCUUCGAUUAAAUUUCCCUAUGUAGAACGGACAAACAAAAUGAUCUCGCCAAAGCAAACCAGUGAAGGUCGAGGUUCUUCUCAUUUCGGACACACUCCUUUGCUGAUAAUCCAUAUUAUUGGAAUCUUC
rnacentral:misc_RNA from 1 species